rnacentral:tRNA from 1 species
CGGGACGUGGCGCAGUUUGGUAGCGCGCAGCGUUCGGGACGCUGAGGUCGCGGGUUCAAGUCCCGCCGUCCCGACC